UAUGCCUCAAGAAUGGGAACUGAGGAGUUUGGACGGGCGGAAAACAAGGGAAGAGUGCAGGCAUCCGCGGCAUGCAGAUGAUUCAUAAAAAACACCCCAUGAAAAGACAAUCCCUUGAUUGUAUCAAAUGGCAUAAGCUGCAAUGCCGCUCCUGGAAGCUGAAUUCAGAUGGUGCCAUAGAGUACUUUAUGGCAUCUAGCACCAUUUGAAAUCAGUGUUCCUGGGCCGGUCCUGACAUCAUGUGGGGCAUCUAUAUAUUGUGGAUUGCUGACAUUCUACUGCAUUGUUUGUGAUUUAUGUGUUUAAUAAUGUCUGAAAUAAACAAAACUCAUUUUUUGCAUGCUUUAAA